GACUAAGUAACUUAAUAAUUAUUGUGACUAGGCAAUUAGUUUAAUUUUACAACUUACAUUAAUUUGGAGUUUAUUUUAGGAUUUUAUUAAUUAAAGAAAGAAGAAGACAAAACAAAAGAAAAAGGGAAAAAUGAAAAAAAAGGCUGUUUUUAAAACCAAUUGGGCCACUUGACUGCUAAGCCCAAAUUCCAUCCCAACCAGCCAACAUUUAAAACCACCCCAGCCCAAAUUCACACACUCACCCGCCCGUCUGCCUUUAAACCGACCCACCCCACAAACCCUCAUAUUUGAGCCUCAUGUAUUUGCCCUGGAACAAACCCUAAAUCCCCAAAACUCGGAAAAGUGGCGCAUAGUACUAUUCAAUCAUCUUCCUCGCCCAAACUAAGCCCAAUUCAGUCCAAAUUCAGGCGAGUGAAGCCAAACUCGCACCACACGUCUCCCCUUCUCUACUACUGCCAUAGUGUAACGGUUUCUGACACCAAAGAUUUCCCUCCCCCUCACUUGCCCGAAUUCGAGAUAUAGCACGCAAUUGGAAGGUUCUGGAGAACGAUCGUUGGAUGAGUGUGAGGCGUUGGAUCAAUUUCACUCAAUUCGAGCCCCACAUUCAUCAGAGGUUCGUUUUCAAAAUGACUGAUUCCGAUUUUGUAAAGAGGAGGAUUUUGGGGGAGUGAAAAAAAAAACAUAAGAGGUUGAAGAAUUUUUCUUGAGCUUCUCACUUUCUCUUCUCUGAAAAUUUCUUUUAGAGUUUCUUUCAAAGAAACAUAUGCAUUUUUUUUUUUGAAUCUGGUUUUGAGUUCCAAAGAGAUGAAAAAUGAAUUGAGGUCACUCGAUUGGUGGUGAGGUUCACGUUCAUCGACUUCAAUUUUCUACUGUUUUCCUGCUGAUUUGCUGUUGAACCUCGCUAGGAUUUUGGGACCAAAUGAUGUAUUUGCUAAUUUUGUACUUAUUGUAAAAGAAGUUUGCAAUUUCAGCUAUUGGAUUUUCUUGUAUUCAACGUUCGAGCAAAGUUAAUCGGAAAUGUUUACUGAUUCAGGUUCAUUUCUAAUCUCUCGUAGCUUAUCUUUGGCGUUUGAUUAAGAAAUGUAUUGAGAGUUUGAGUUCAACUGGUUUAGAACUGUUUAAAGCUUGGUGACUGUUGGUCAUAAUGUGUUUGUUUGCUAAUUGCACGAGUAUUUCUGGUUUGGUUUGGCUGUGUAUAUGUUAAAAUCAGUUCUCUAAAAUCAUUCUUUAUUGUCCUCUGCUGCAUCCUUACAUCUAUUCAUAUCGUUUCUUUGUCUAAAAAUGAAAGAUGAUUUCAAGCAGCCAUAUACUCGAUACCUAUUUGAUCUUUUAGCUGUUUGUUUGAAAUUAGAUGUCAACUGAGUUCUGAAAUUGUUCGUUGAUGUUCACUGAUUGUUGUCGAUCCAGUUAGUUCGACUCAGCAUUUAGAACUGUUAUAACGCUUUGCUAAGUUUUGGUCGAGUCAUAUUUUAAAUUAGUUCAGUUCGUACCACAUAGCGAGGCUUGGUUCUUCCUUUUCGUGUACGAGAUUUAAAGGAAUUGUAUGAAUCUGUUGGAAUAUUGUUAAGACGUGACAGUGAUGAGGUUUAUGAGACCAGCCUCAGUUCUUUAAAAGGUUCCUUUUGGUUAAAUUAAAGUUUUAAAAAACAGAAUCGAAAAAACCAUUUUCUGAGUUCUUUGCUUAUUCUUAUACAAACUAGUAUCGAGCUUUUUCUUCAAGUAUGAAGCAGAGUCAAGUUGCUCCUUACUUUACAUGUUCAGAAAUGAGUUUGGUGAGUUUUUUUUUGCUGAAGUUUGAAUUUGAAAUGAGUGCUGAGUUCAUCCUUGAAAUGCUAAAAAUUUGGAGUUCUGAACUGCUGAAUUCAUCUUUGAAACGCUAGAAAAAAGAAUUACUGGGAUUCUUUCUUGCUUCUCCCUUCCUGUUCAGUUGUCGAUAGAGGACCCUAGUCAAUUUUUUUACUCUUUGUACUUCUCUUUCUUCUUAUGUGAUGAUGGUGAUAAACGUGGUAUUGGCUCUUUGGUUUUGUUGAAUGUUCGAACCAUAUUCUUAGAGCCUCGUUAAUCUUAGUUUAGAAGAUGUUUGUUAAUCUAUGAAAGGCUCUACUCUAUUGAAAGUCCAGUUCUAAACUUCUUUCUGCACUAUUGACUUUCUGGAUUUGUUCCCAUUGAUGUUCAAAUGAGUAAUUGUUUGGGUGGUUGGUUGCGCUUAUUCUUGCGUGGUUAUCAUUAAGGACAGAUGAGAGUUGGUUCCCUUUCAGGCAUUCCGAUAGACCUAGCAUGGUUGAUACAUAUGCAGCCUUCUCCUUUUAAGU
rnacentral:lncRNA from 1 species